rnacentral:lncRNA from 1 species
GUUUGAGAAAGAGAGACAGAAUCCCACGGGCUCCUGUGAACAGGGCCACCUCUGACUCACCCUCUUCACUGCAGCUCGCCACAGAGCUGGCCCAGAUUCAAGGGCGGGUGAACAGACCCUGCUUCUUGAUGGGAGGGGCCGGCAAGCCCCCAUCGCAGAAGACGCGGACCCGGGGACCGAAUUUGCCGUAAAUCGAACACCACUUGUGAUACCCAGUAAGUGUCCAAAAUCUGUAGGUUUGAUUUUGGGGGUUUGAAGGAAUGCGUUUUCUCAGUGUGAGGUGGAGAGGGUUAUUAAGUGAGGAUCCUUUAAAACAUCGAUUACAGUUUAGGUGACAUUAAACUGAAAAUCACUGCAUAGAGAAAUCUUUCAUAAAUCUAUCUUAUUCAAGCGAUAUUCAGUAAGGUACAAUUCCCAACCACAAAGUACCCGGCAACGAAGCAAUUGGAAAAGUCGUUUGGAGUUGGCUGUUUUGGGACCUGCUACUUGCGAAUGUCAGAACGAUUUCAAGACUGGCUUCUCGGAGAUGGGGCCUGGGAACGGCAUGUGGAGGAUCUGGAAGAGGGGCAGGUAGAUGGAACGGUGGGGUGUGGGCAGGAAGCGCGGAGCCUGGGAUUGCCAGUGUUCUGAGCCCUCACGAGGGGGGUCUGGCUGCAUCCUGGAGGCAUGCGGGGCUCGCUUCUUCUUGGUGGUGGAGGCUGGGUGGGCAGCGUGAAUGCCGGUCGUGUGGGACCUACUGGUGAACCCAUCGUUGCUAGGAGACGUUAACCCCCGCCGGGUGGGGCAGCUGAAUGGAGGGAACUUCAUAAAAGCGGUGACUCAUGGAGGUGGUAUAGCCAGAAUCUUCCAGAACUACAAAGCAGAGGGCUGUGUCCUAAGCUCCUCUUGCUGUCACCGUGCACGGGACUUGCCCCGGUCACGUCAUUGCUCCAGCCUCGUCCCCUGAAGGGCAGCAAACACCUCUUACUCACAUGAUGUGUGAGCCAUGUUAUUGUCUGAGUUUCUUUCUUGCUCUACGAGCAAUGAUUCAUGCAUUUGAAUUAAAGAGUAAAUUAACAACAGCUGCUUCCUUCCCAACAAAAACAAAUAAAAAAACCUUUCUCCCUGGAAGGCGGCAAAACCAAGCUGAUUUAUAAUUCUGGGAGGAAAAGGGCCAUUCUUGAUGGGACACCGAGGCUAAAAUGAUUAAUACGCGGCUGCAUGAAACUUCAAAGACCAAACUCAAUCCAACCCAAAUUAAACCAUAACAUCACAAAACUUGUGAAUGGUAAGAAAUGCUAAAAAUUUAGGAGGCCAAUAAAACCAAGAGAAAAUACUCGAAUCGUCUCUGACAGAAAAAGAAAACCAAUAAGGAAAAUAACCCAAAGAAAUAUUGGUAAAGAUCACAAAGAGGGGAUUCACAAAAGAUAAAAAAUGCAAAGGGACAAUUAGCUAAUGGAAAAAAUGUUCAGUGUUGCUGAUAACCAAAUAAGCUUGAAAAAUGAGGCACUUUUAAUUUAUAUUAGAGAGAGGAAAUAGGUUAGAACUCCUUGGUGUUGGGACAGAAAUGGGGACUCUCCAAAGUGGCCCACAGUCAGCUGCCCGUGUCCUUGUCUCAGCCUUCAUGGCAAAUGAUCGCACAUGCGCGGCGGUGUGGCCGGGAAAAAGACGGCUUUCGAUUCCCUCCAUCGGGUGCCACAGUCAGACACACUGAUGCCCAGUCACCCUCGGGCAGGCAAUUUCUAAGGUAAUGAGUUUGGCUUCCUCUCUUCCUGCCUUUUGCUUCACACACUUCCUGCCACGUUGUCAGCCAUGUUCAACAGGCCUCAUCAUCCGUGGCAGCAAAAUCUACUUCCUGCCAAUUCCGCUCUUCUCUCAAUUUCUAGGUGUCCCUGCUCAUUCUUCUGUCCUUCUUUGGCUAAGCUUCAGUGAGUGAGAGGCAUGGUUGGCAGAGGCAGGCGUGACCCAGGAUGUGUCGGACGGAGAGCAGAGGGGACCUGACAGGUGGGGUGGGUCCAGAGACCCUCGGAGGACAGAGACAUUGAGUUGGGAUUCUGAGGGGGGAAGACUGGAAUUAGGAAGGUGACGGACACCAUGCCGACCGCCAGUGAGUGAUUAAUGAAUCCCACCUCUCAUUCUGUCUGCCCUCUCUUGUGUCCCUCCAGCUCAAAAUAGAGACACCUUUGGUGACUGGAGCUUUAGGAAGAGAGAAGGCCGGAGAGGCAACAGGAAUGGAUGUGAAGAUACUACAGGCCAAACAGCUGGGGCCUCACUGGAGGAACAUACCUCUUCACUUAGACUGGUCAGGCACAAAUUCAGUGCAGCACGGGCAGUGGCCUCUGUUGAAGGUGACAGUCUGGCCGCGAUACGUCCGAAGUGCCCCCCUGCCAGCUCUAGACAAGGAACCGUGUCCAGAGAAGGCCUGGCCGCUGGUCAGGUCUCAGUUAAGUGCAUAUUAGACAAAUGCACGGCGGGUUGCAGCCGAGACUUCAUGGCAAGUAUUGCCCCAGAUGCUGUUGGUGACGGCCUCUCCCCCAUCCCUUGGCUCCUACAUUUCUGUGCAGCCGGUAGACUCCCAACGGCGACCAUCUGUAUCUCCUUGCCUACGCUGCCCACACGCUGGGUGGGCUGGAAGUGCCGGGGAGGUGCCCUCCCCGCUCAGGCAACCCCCUUAGCCCUGACUGAGGGGAGCUGGUGGAUAAAUGCCCAGGUCCCUCCCCGCAGCACGGGACGCGAGAUAACCCCCGGUCAUGAUCCCAGAUGGCGUCCAGAGUCCCCAGAGCACUGAGCCACAGUAGGAACUUAUUUGACAACAGACCCCUUCCUGGCUUUCUGCCUGUCUCUCUCACCGCCCCCUCCCAUACCUGUGUGUCCUGUUGUCACCGCCCCCUCCACCCNN